GACAGAGGGUGCUAGCGUUGUUCGGAAUUACUGGGCGUAAAGCGUGCGCAGGCGAUUUGCUAAGAGAGAUGUGAAAUCCCCGGGCUUAACCUGGGAACUGCGUUUCUAACUGGCAGGCUUGAGUGUGGCAGAGGGGGGUGGAAUUCCACGUGUAGCAGUGAGAUGCGUAGAUAUCGUGAGGAAUACCAGAGGCGAAGGCGGCUACCUGGACAAUUGCUGACGCUCAGGCACGAAAGCGUGGGGAGCAAAAGGG
rnacentral:rRNA from 1 species